AGAGUUUGAUCCUGGCUCAGGAUUAACGCUGGCGGCGUGCAUAAUCAAUGCGAGUCGAACGGGGUAUAGACCGUAGCAAUACGUUCUGUGCCUAGUGGCGCACGGGUGCGUAACACGUGGGUGACCUACCCCAGAGCGGGGGAUACCUGCCCGAAAGGGCAGCUAAUACCGCAUACGGUUGCACUUUCAUUUGUGUAACUAAAGGAGAAAUCCGAUUUGGGAGGGGCCCGCGGCUGAUUAGCUAGUUGGUGAGGUAACGGCCCACCAAGGCGAUGAUCAGUAGCUGGUCUGAGAGGAUGAUCAGCCACACUGGGACUGAGAUAUGGUCCAGAGCCCUACGGGGUUUAGCAUGAGGGAAUUUUGCGCAAUGGGCGAAAGCCUGACGCAGCAACGCCGCGUGGACGGCGAAGGCCUUCGGGUCGUAAAGUCCUUUUCUGGGGGAAGAGAAUGGACGGUACCCCAGGAAUAAGCAUCGGCUAACUACGUGCCAGCAGCCGCGGUGAUACGUAGGAUGCGAGCGUUGUCCGGAUUUAUUGGGCGUAAAGAGCGCGUAGGUGGUGCUUUAAGUUAGGCGUUAAAUCUCCCGGCCCAACUGGGAAACGUCGUCUAAUACUGGGGCACUUGAGGGCAGAAGAGGGAAGUGGAAUUUCCGGUGUAGUGGUGAAAUGCGUAGAUAUCGGAAGGAACACCCGUGGCGAAAGCGGCUUCCUGGUCUGCUCCUGACGCUGAGGCGCGAAAGCUAGGGUAGCGAAUGGAAUUAGAUACUCCAGUAGUCCUAGCCGUAAACGAUGGACACUAGGUGUAGGGGGUAUCGACCCCCUCUGCGCCGUAGCUAACGCGUUAAGUGUCCCGCCUGGGGAGUACGGCCGCAAGGCUAAAACUCAAAGGAAUUGACGG
rnacentral:rRNA from 1 species